rnacentral:rRNA from 1 species
AGUGAACGCUGGCGGUAGGCCUAACACAUGCAAGUCGAACGGCAGCACAGUAAGAGCUUGCUCUUACGGGUGGCGAGUGGCGGACGGGUGAGGAAUACAUCGGAAUCUACUUUUUCGUGGGGGAUAACGUAGGGAAACUUACGCUAAUACCGCAUACGACCUACGGGUGAAAGCAGGGGAUCUUCGGACCUUGCGCGAUUGAAUGAGCCGAUGUCGGAUUAGCUAGUUGGCGGGGUAAAGGCCCACCAAGGCGACGAUCCGUAGCUGGUCUGAGAGGAUGAUCAGCCACACUGGAACUGAGACACGGUCCAGACUCCUACGGGAGGCAGCAGUGGGGAAUAUUGGACAAUGGGCGCAAGCCUGAUCCAGCCAUCCCGCGUGGGUGAAGAAGGCCUUCGGGUUGUAAAGCCCUUUUGUUGGGAAAGAAAAGCAGCAGGUUAAUACCCCGCUGUUCUGACGGUACCCAAAGAAUAAGCACCGGCUAACUUCGUG